UGCUCCUGUUCAUUUCGCGAGCAGAGAGAAAACGUUGUCUGCUGCGAGUAAUGGAAGGCGAAGGUGGAGGUGGAGAUCGGUGGGAGCCUCCACAGGGCGAGAGAAGUAAGAUCUCUCCUCUCUCUCCCCUUCUUCUCCUCCUCCUCUCCUCCUCCUCUCCUUAUCUUUCUCUUUCCAGAGUCGUCUUCUCCGUCGUACUUGUUUCCGAUCUUGCAUUUGAACGCAAGAACUGGAGGGAAUCUAGGGCUUCCAUCCGAUCUAGGGUUUCUUCGAUCUAUUGUUCAUCUCUAGAUCUCUUCUUGAGAUUAUAUAGUGAAGGGCCGUUAUGAUCGUUGAUAUCUCGAUGUCGUGUUUAAUAAGGGGAAAUCAGCUUCGAUCGAACAAAGAAACCCUACGAUCGGGGAAAUCAGUUUCGAUCGAACAAAGAAACCCUACAAUCGUUGAUCUCCUGAUCCUCUCUUUAUUGUAAUCGGUUUCAAUUCGCACUAGAAUUCUAAUGUUGUGUUUAACUUUUUAUGUUGUUUCAAUUUAGCGUGGAACGACUGCAAUGAUCGUUGAUCUUUCAACGCCUAGUUUUGGAUGAUCAAAUCCGUUUCAAUCCAGCUUAGCGUUUAUACGUUUAAUGACCUAUGGAGGUGAUGAAAUUGAUUUCGAUCCUGUUGCAUAGCUUAUGUUUAGGUCCUUUUUUAAGACAAGCUUAAAAGCGCUGGAAACCGCUGCAACGAUCUCUGAUCUCUUGCUCCCUCGUUUUGGAUGGUGAAAUCUUGCUUGCUUCCUUGUUUGUUUUCGUCCACGAAGUUGCCAAAUCUCCAUUGAAGAGCUGAUGCUGUGUAUUUCUAUACUAGCUGGUCAUUGUAUCUUCUGAUGAUGUAUGUACACAACAACAAUUCAUAAACAAUUGCACGCUUCAGGUAAUAAACAUUACCCUCGAAUCAAUUUUGAGAGGGUGGUGGCUCAAAAUCAUUUUGGUUUUCUUGUAUUACAAGUUCCUGUUGACAGUACAACUUUGAUGUCUAUCAAAGGUCCUGUUAAUUAUAGGCGUGUGCAAUGGCAGAUAUGGCGAUGGCAGGUAUUUUGUGGGAGUGAGUGUGACAUUUAUCUUAUGCUAUCUCUAUAUUCAUUAUCUUUCUAGUUAUUCAUAUGCUAUUUGUUUUAAUGAAUCUUUUAUGUGUGUUAAAGUUUUAUAACAGAAACCGUAUUCAUGCAUCAAUUAGUGUGACAAUUCAUUAGCAGAGUGUAUCAAUGAUUCUAUAUUAGAUACCUAUCCUUACCACUCAUCACUGUCAUCAUUGUACAUAUUGACUAGCCAGAAUUGAUCGAUGAAAUACCUAAAAACUUUCAAAUUGUUAGCUAAGAUGAGUUUGAAUAAUAAGCUAUAAAGUCAAUACUUGAGAAGUAUUCAUGAAUACAUAGGAGUGAAUACGUGGGAGAAGGGUGUAUCAUAACUCUUGAUCUUUAAAUCAAAAGACUGAAUGUCUAAAUUAUCUAUUGUUUUGUGUGCGCUAAAUUUGGACGAUGAUAUUUUAGUCAAUUGUCGAAUGGAUUGCAGUUAGUAAUUUUGUUGCUCAUCAUUUCUAGGUUUGAUUGCUCCUUUGUCUUUUUCUGCAGGUGUUAAUUUUGAUUUCAGCAACGGAGCUGCUGAUUCCCUUUCAGAGAGCUGCUGCUGCUGCGUAUAUUCUAAACAAGCUAAUUUCCUUUCUUAUAUUCUUCCUAGGAUGUUGAUAUGUAUAAAAUUGCAAUUCAAGAACAGUUGCACCAUCCAGGUAAUAAACAUCACCCUAAAGUGUACAUGUUCUUUCAUUUGCAAGAGAUGGGUAGCACAGUUAGGAGGACUGUUUGUUUUGAAGUGGUGCUGAUGGUUCUUGCGUGAAUGUGUACCAGGACUUUGACUUGUGGCUUUUUGCUGAUUAUUAAGAUAAGGGGCUUAAUAGAUUUAGGCAUAUUACCUUCAAAAGAAUGAUGUUAUUUAUGUCUAAACUCUAUAUUUUGUCACUUAGAUCACCUAGGUACAUCAAAAUGGAAGAGUUUUUCUGUUUGUGCUUCCAUACCAACAUUAAAUUGUUUGACUAUAUCUAAUUGUAAUUCAGAACACAUAUUGUCUUGAUUCUCUUGAAGGACUUGAUAUACGGCUGUCACAGGGACCCAAUUUCCUUAAAAUGCCCCUGUUGCAGGAAAUCAUAGAAUUGUACUUCAUAACUAGUAUGACCUUAACCUUAGAUAGCAUUUAUUCCAAAUAGCUAGCUGUCGCUCUCUGUUUCUCUCUUUUUUGGGAUCCAUCAUCUGUGUCAACUAUAUAGGAAAUAUAUAAUAUUGGUUAGAUGACAACAUCAUUAGAUGUCGAUUUCCAAGGUUUUUAGUAGGCUGAUGGUCUUCUAUGCCUCAAGUGACACCACUCCUCACGACUAGGGAUCUUGAGUUGUAAUUGUGAGCAGGAAGGUUCAGGCUUCUCCACAUUAAUUUCACUGUAAUUAAAUAUAGAUGUCUGACUAGUCUUUUAUUUACAUCUCUCUACGCAUAUUGAAUUAUUCUUGUGUUAUGGGCUUGAGGCUGAGGGUUUUAAUUGUGCAUAAUUAGCAGGUAACGUGCUGUGUGCACGUCUGUUGCGGUCGAAUAGGAUUUGGGAUACAUUUCAAGAGGCCAUCCUAUAUAUUGACUCAGAUUAUUGGGGUUUUUUUUCUACUGUAGAAUCUCUCCUACUUGUCUGUAGCUAUCUCUUAGUCACAAUGAUCUUUGGAUUGGUUAUUUUUGCUCGUAAGCUUCAUUUUUGGACCCUUAGAAUGAAUCUUCCGACUAGUGAUUGAUUUUCACAUGCCCCUGGUUAAUGAUUCAAACUAAUAUGCUAAUAAUUUUUGCCUGUUCUUUGAGCUUUGAUAUCGACACCCAUGGAUUUCAGGUGCUGACGAUCUGCCGUCUGUGCCGGCUGUGCUGUGCUGCACUGUGCCAGUGUCAGUGCCUAACUGAUUUGUACAAUGCCCAUAUUGCGAUUAUCGCUGAUGCUGCUCUAUGCGGCUUGAUGCAUCUUGAUACCGCAUUUAAAACGUUGUGCGGUGCCUUAGAGUGUUGUGAUUUACCCUUUGCUGCUGCCGAUCGCUGCGCCAUCACACUGCCCGUUGCCUCCGCCAUAUUUAUCACCUUGCCCCGCUGUACCAUAACGGGAAAAAAAACUUGUACCAGGGAAAGGUGAAGAGAUUGAUUGGAAACCUAAUCUCAAAAGUAGGUUCUUUUUUUUUUUUAACUUUUGGAUUGCAGGCUUAAAUGAAACCUCACUAGAAUGGGGCUUAUACAGACAUGGCUUCAAAAUGAAGUCUUGAUAUCAGGCACAAUCUGACCCAUUAAGUGUUCUUCUCGGCUAUCAGCCUCUGCGUCGUCAAAGCCCUAAAAUCAGAUUACUUCACAUUGCUGUUGAGAUUCCAUAUUGGGAUUUGACAUUUGCGUCUAUUUCGAGAUUUGCCGCCCUUGACCAGCCAGAGCACUGUCAGCAUUUCCGCUGCUUCUGAGCAGCAUGUCCCACAUGCCCACACAUCUGCGCUGCAAUGUGAGGUGCUGAGCCAUGCCAACCAGAGCUCAGCAUGGCCUACUUGAGUUUUAACGUAGCCUUGCUCACUAUGUCUCUUGGUUUGAUGGAUCCCACUAGGUACAUAUUCCUUGAAGGUACUGAAAGAAGACCAGAAAGGGCAUCAUCUACCAGGUAUUAUGCUUCAACACAAUUUGAUUGCACUGAUACAUAAACAAUUUCUCCUGAUUCCAAUGAUUUGGAUUUUCCUUUGAACAUGGAUUUUGACCACAGUGAUCUUAAGUCUAGGGUUCUUCUUAUGACUAUGAUAAGCUAAUCAGGUCUCUAAAGUAAUGUCAACCGCCAGCUGCAGUGAUGAUCCUUUUCUCCCAAUGCGAAACAAAAUGAACAAAACUAUGCGAAACAACCAUAAUCUCGUUCAUCUUACAUAGAAUCGGUAUCUCUGCCCUGUGCAGAAAAACUAUGACGAAGCAGGUUUGUAUUCUUGCUUAGCUCACAUACUGACAGUACUUCCAUUUGCUGGAAUGUAUUAUUGAUGGACACCUAUUUAACCUCCAAGCAUGCUAUAACUAGUCUUACAAGAUUUUACUUGAAGUACUGAUUCAUUUUGUUUUGUUUGUGAUUCUUAGAUUUACCAUCAUUCAUACUCUGCCGGUGGACUAUCACAAAAGGUUCUAAGUUCUAGCACAUGUGAAUGGCAAAGUGGUAAGACAAAAAAUGCAUGACUGGAAGAUCAAAAUGGGUAUCAAUGUACGAGGUAGUACACCGUGUCACAAUCUGAGCUUGUUCUACAUUCGGUACUUCAAGAAUGUUUGUAAUAUUCGGGGAAUCCUCCAUAUUUUCUACUCAAAAUAUUCAAAUCGUCACUCUUCAACUCUAGUUGGGAAAUUGUAAGAGGUGUGGGUGAAGUUGUGAAAUCAUCAUAGGUUCCCCACUAGUAGGAAUAUUACAAGGUUAGUUGGUCAACAAACUAGCCAUUCCAAGUAUAAAAUAUAUAACAUUCCUGCAAUGCUAUCGACCGGUAAAACGAGCGAGCCCUCAAGAAUAUAUCCAAGUCUUAUGUACAAAAUUCCCAGCUGGAAUGGAUUGCUACAAAUUGUAUUUGAUGCUUUCUGCAUUAGUGUCACCCUGACAUGGUGCCCUUGGGGUUGUCUCGUGCAUGCUGAUUUUUUAAGGCACUGAGGUUCAGGAUGGCGGACAAUACAAUACAUUAUCUCACGACUGAAGAGAAAGAGAAGAGAGAUCCAGAGAUGGUCGAGUUGUAAUCAUAUCAGACUCGGAUUGAGCCAGGUGAGACUCGUAACAUUUGACCAGGUGGUACAACUUUUCUGAAUCAUAACUACUCUUACUAAUAACUGAAGAGAACAAGAGAAGAGAGAGCCAGAGAUGAUCGAGUUCUCAUCAGAUCAGGCUCAGAUUGAGCUAGGUGAGACUUGUAACCUUUGAUCAGGCUAUACAAUUACUUAUCUCAAUACUUUAUCCAAGAUUUCACCUCAUUCAGAAUCUUUUAAGUUUUGACUUUUAAAUCACCUAGCACCAAUUAUAUUUCCUCAAAAGUUUUGUUUAUUCGGAUGGAAAUUGAGACUUUAGCGUCAAUUGAUGUCCAACACGUGGAAACUUAUCUAUUGGGUCUUUGAUGGAAAGAUCUUGAUUGAAACAACUAAAAAAAUCUGUUCAAAAUCUGAUUGCAAAAAUUAGAAUGUUGGGUGCUAGGAUAAAAACUCGAGGCUAAAAACACCAGUCACAGAUAGGCCUAAAUACUGUUGAAAUCAUCUCUAGCAAUGUUAUCUAAUUCCUGUGGAAUAGGGUUUGAUGCGGUUUUGUUUAGGUCCUAUAUAUUUUUCGUUGCAACUUGUGAAAUUACCAAAUUUAAACAAGGUCUAUUGGUAAAAUUAAUGGACAGAUUUUAUGUUUGACUCAUAAUUUUUCUUUCUGAGGAAUUUGCUAUUCCAUUUAAAGCAAUGCAACCUAUACACCCAAAAAGUGGUGUGAGAUUCACACUCUCCCAUCCAAGGGUUUGUGCUGUAAGUAGCAUUUCUCUUCUAUUUAUUGCAUUGCAGUGUAUAUUUGCACCUAUUUUUAUUCCCAUGCUUCAAAGUACUGUUAGAAGAUUUGUGCCUAUUAUUUUGAUUUUUCUUUAUUUUUGGUUCUAGUCUCUGGUUCUUAGAGGUUUUAAAGUUUGCAGAUUGUUCCAAAAAAUUGAAGUUUGAUAGAGAUAUUCGAGCUAUUAUUAUUGUUGCACUAUCCUGAUUUCAUCAAAGCUUUUUAUUGUUUUUAAUUUUUCUGCUUAUGAUCUAAUUCAUGCAAAUAUAAAUUGUAAAAAUUAAAGGUACACUCCUGCUGAAUCACUGAGUCUGCAUUUAGUUCUGUUGCUCCUCCUCACUAUUUAUACAACACUAUCUUCACUAGCUUAAAUCAAACGCCAAUUUUCUCAAAUUCAAACAUUAGUUACAUAUGCUUCUAUAUUAUCAUUCUGUAUUAUCUGUUAGUUCUUGUAACAAGGAAGUAAGAGUUUAGUUAGUUGAUGCAGUUUCUUCUUGAUCCUUGUUAUUUGUCUGCUUUUUGUUCUAUGUUUUUUGCUCCUAAUCCUUACAAUCACCCCUGCCUGUUAUUCUAAAGGUAUAAUGUUUGGAUAGGCUGCAACUGAAAUGUAAUGCCUGUAGAAAAGGAGGUGAGUCGUCAUUUGGAGGUUUCCGAAGUGGUGAAUCAUCAUUUCGAGGUUUCCUUUUAAGUUUUUAGCUUGCCUUUUCUCCUUUCUGAAGUCCAUUUGGAGGUUUCCUUUUAAUUUUUUAGCUUGUGCAUAUACUUUUCUUGAUGGUAUUAGUAAGUACAUAUAUCAGUACGUGAACAGUUGCAGUCUGCUGGCGGUUGACAACUAAACAUCACCCUGGAAUUUGAUGCUCUCUCCCCCCCCCUCCCUGUAAUGCCACUUACCUCAUCUUAAAAACUAGCAGAGCUAGGACCGACAUUCAUAGAGGAUGCAAUAUACGAUACCUUAGGAUUAAACAAAUACCUUAGGAUUAAACAAAUAAUAAAGCUAAAUCUUCCUAUCCAUAAAAAUGUGGUCGUUUCCUUUGAUUUGGGUUCGAAUAUUUUUAUAAUAAUGCAAGGGUUAUGGUCUAGAGGCUUUUAGUUCGAAGGAGUAUUUCAUUUAUUCUUUUGCAAGGAUCUCUCAGGCUAUAACUAGGUGCUUCUAUCUUAGAAGAGCAUUCAAAGGCAGAUCUAAUAAUGGCUUUUAAUGGUUGUAUUUUGGUUAAAGCAAGCAUGUCUUAACAGAGCAUACAAAGACAGAUCUAGUAAUAGCAGGUAUGGUUGUAUUUUGGUUAGAGCAAGAAUGUCAUUAUCUGUUGUGCCAUCUCUAAAUUCAUUCCCUAUUAAUUAUUCAUACUUAUUCUGCCAAUCGUAGAGUAGUUUAUAUAGAAUGUAAAAUUAUAUACAGAAUAUGAUUUAUGGUUGAAGUAUAUUUUGGUCUCAAGCAUGUAAGAAUGCAUAUCUUAAUCUAACCCCUUAGUUUCUGGGACACUACAACUUACUGUUGUUUUAUUCUAAAUGCCCUUGUAAUUGGAUGACUUGUCUUAUAUCAUGUGAAAACAUUGUAUUUGCCACGUAUUAUUUGGAUUGGGAUUUAUUCUUGGUCCUCCAUAACUUCUGUAUUUUUCGAUUUUCUGACCCGCUUUGUUUUCUUUACUUGGGGGGCCCUUACUAAAAACAAUUUUCAAGUAUUCCUCUUUUCUUAGUGUAAUCAUAGCAUGCUCUGAGAGGUAAAAGCUGAUUGAUCAAUGUAAGAAGAUGGAGGUGACACAAACUUCCUAAUUCAGGGAGCCCUCUUUAGCCCUCACCAGAUUUUACAUCUGGAUUCUUCGCCUUUCCAAUGAUGGAUCCACCUGGUUGUCAAUGAUCUCCUGGGGACCUAUUCGUACUAAUUUCAUUGACAGCCUGUAACUAUUGUUCAUCUUGCUGUUUCCUUCUAUUUUCUUCCUGCUUGUUUCCUCAUAUAGGCAUCACUGCACCACUCUGCGCACACAUAGGUUAUAGGUGUGAGGUAGAGUAAAUGAUGUUACACAGAAAGCCUUCGUUGGCGUAGGGCCCAUUCAUACCACGAUUAUUACUCGAGAUCAGAAAUAAAAACAAAGGAUGGGAACAUGUACUCUCCAGUACAGGUGCUCUGGUGCUUCUUUCAAUGUC